GGGCCCGCACAAGCGGUGGAGCAUGUGGUUUAAUUCGAUGAUACGCGAGGAACCUUACCAGGGCUUAAAUGUAAGUUGCAUAAAUCAGAGAUGAUUUUUUCUUCGGACUACUUACAAGGUGCUGCAUGGUUGUCGUCAGCUCGUGCCGUGAGGUGUCAGGUUAAGUCCUAUAACGAGCGCAACCCCUGUCGUUAGUUGCCAUCAAGUAAUGUUGGGUACUCUAGCGAGACUGCCGGUGCAAACCGAGAGGAAGGUGGGGAUGACGUCAAAUCAUCACGGCCCUUACGUCCUGGGCUACACACGUGCUACAAUGGCCGGUACAGAGAGCAGCCACUACGCGAGUAGGAGCGAAUCUUCAAAACCGGUCUCAGUUCGGAUCGCAGUCUGCAACUCGACUGCGUGAAGCUGGAAUCGCUAGUAA
rnacentral:rRNA from 1 species